rnacentral:SRP_RNA from 1 species
UCGUGCUAGACGGGGAGUUAGCGGUGCCCUGUACCCGCAACCCGCUCCAGCGGGGUUGAAUUCCCUCUCGAGGCUCGGCUUUGCAGGACUGUUCCGAUACGGAGUGUUGAACAUCGGGUCUCACACGGCGGGGAACUGUGAAUCAGGUCAGGACCGGAAGGUAGCAGCCUUAAGCAGCACUCUUCGGGUGAUGUGAGGUUUCCCGGUGGGAGCUCACGACCGGCAAUAAGCUGGAAGGUUCUUGUCGACAGAGGGUGCACGA